rnacentral:rRNA from 1 species
CUUGCUCCCUCAAGUUAGUGGCGGACGGGUGAGUAACGCGUGAGUAACCUGCCUUUCAGAGGGGAAUAACAUUCUGAAAAGAAUGCUAAUACCGCAUAAUGUCACAGUAUCGCAUGGUACAGUGACCAAAGGAGCAAUCCGCUGAAAGAUGGACUCGCGUCCGAUUAGCUAGUUGGCGGGAUAAAGGCCCACCAAGGCGACGAUCGGUAGCCGGACUGAGAGGUUGAUCGGCCACAUUGGGACUGAGACACGGCCCAGACUCC